UUUCCGUAGGUGAACCUGCGGAAGGAUCAUUACUGAGUGAGGGCCCCUCGGGGUCCAACCUCCCACCCGUGUUUAACGAACCUUGUCGCUUCGGCGGGCCCGCCUCACGGCCGCCGGGGGCAUCUGCCCCCGGGCCCGCGCCCGCCGAAGCCACCUGUGAACGCUGUCUGAAGUAUGCAGUCUGAGACAAUUAUUAAAUUAAUUAAAACUUUCAACAACGGAUCUCUUGGUUCCG
rnacentral:misc_RNA from 1 species